GCUUAUAGCCAUACCACCCUGAACCUGCCGAUCUCGUCUGUUCUUGGAAGCUACGCAGGGUCGGGCAUGGUUAGUACUUCGAUGGGAAACCACCUGGGAAUGCCAAAUGCUGUAAGCU
rnacentral:rRNA from 1 species